rnacentral:rRNA from 1 species
CUGCGGAAGGAUCAUUAACGAACUCUCGAGGGACGCAGUUGCUGCUGGGCUUCUUGGAAGUCAACGUGCACACGGUCUCUCUUCUCGUUCAACCAAUCUACCCCUAUCUGUGCACCCCUCGUGAGCUGAGAACUCUCUCGGCUUAUGUCCUUUCCACAAAGCAUCUUAUCAAAUCAGUGAAUGAGCAGCCCGUCUGAGCUCUGUCUCGACGUUAACAGUAACACACAACUUUCAACAACGGAUCUCUUGGCUCUCGCAUCGAUGAAGAACGCAGCGAAAUGCGAUAAGUAAUGUGAAUUGCAGAAUUCAGUGAAUCAUCGAAUCUUUGAACGCACCUUGCGCCCCUUGGUACUCCGAGGGGCAUGCCUGUUUGAGUGUCAUCAGACCAUCAACCCGAAGGGCUUUCGAGGCUCAUCGGAGUUUGGAGCUUGCGGCGUGCGGGGGAGGCUCUCGCCGGCCUCCGCUCCUCGCGGAAUACAUCAGCGGAUGUCCACCAGCGGGACUGACCUUGGCGUGAUAAACAUCGACGUCUUGGCUCUGGCCCCGCGUGUCUUGGUUUCUGCUUCGAACUUGUCGGGCCAUGCUGUCCGACAACCCAUUGACGACUUUGACCUCAAAUCAGGUAGGAU